CACGUAGGAGGCGAGCGUUGUCCGGAAUCAUUGGGCGUAAAGAGCGCGCAGGCGGCUUGGCAAGUCGGGUGUGAAAUCCCGGGGCUCAACCCCGGACCUGCAUCCGAUACUGCGUGACUAGAGGUAGGUAGGGGAGAUCGGAAUUCCUGGUGUAGCGGUGAAUGACGCAGAUAUCAGGAGGAACACCGGUGGCGAAGGCAGGUCUCUGGGCAUUAACUGACGCUGAGGAGCGAAAGCAUGGGGAGCGAACAGG
rnacentral:rRNA from 1 species